rnacentral:rRNA from 1 species
CAGCAGCCGCGGGAAUACGAGGGGGGCAAGCGUUGUUCGGAAUUAUUGGGCGUAAAGGGUGCGUAGGCGGUUUGACAAGUCUUAUGUGAAAUCUCUGGGCUCAACCCAGAGUCUGCAUGGGAAACUGUCGGGCUUGAGUAUGGGAGAGGUGAGUGGAAUUUCCGGUGUAGCGGUGAAAUGCGUAGAUAUCGGAAGGAACACCUGUGGCGAAAGCGGCUCACUGGACCAUAACUGACGCUGAUGCACGAAAGCUAGGGGAGCAAACAGGAUUAGAUACCCGAGUAGUCCCUGUCUCUUAUAC